GAGUUUGAUCCUGGCUCAGAGUGAACGCUGGCGGCAUGCCUAACACAUGCAAGUCGAACGAUGGCUUCGGCCAUAGUGGCGCACGGGUGAGUAGCGCGUGGGAACCUGCCCUGAGGUACGGAAUAACAGCGGGAAACUGCUGCUAAUACCGUAUGUCCCCUGAGGGGGAAAGAUUUAUCGCCUUAGGAGGGGCCCGCGUCCGAUUAGCUAGUUGGUGAGGUAACGGCUCACCAAGGCUUCGAUCGGUAGCUGGUCUGAGAGGAUGAUCAGCCACACUGGGACUGAGACACGGCCCAGACUCCUACGGGAGGCAGCAGUGGGGAAUAUUGGACAAUGGGGGCAACCCUGAUCCAGCAAUGCCGCGUGGGUGAUGAAGGCCUUCGGUUGU
rnacentral:rRNA from 1 species